rnacentral:lncRNA from 1 species
CGCCGGAGCUGUCCCCGGCCAGAAAACACUGCGCAAGAUUCGCGCCCUCGAACAAGCUGCUUUGACUGUCGUCGAUGAACUUGAGGAGGUCGAAACCGUCGUCGUACUGGCACGGAUACCGAUGCUCCAGCGCGAGGCGGUAGUUGACGGAGACGACGACAGCAGGGAUCUCCCGAGCGAGGCGUUGACAGAAGUCGUCGUAUGGUUUUGAAGAGGCGGACAUGAAGGCGAACCCGCCGCCGUGGAAGAAGACGAUGAUGGGGAGUUUGGUGGUAGCGGCGGUGGGAGUGUAGAGGCGGAACCAGAGGUUGCGGGAAGGGUCAGCGGCGACGACGACGUCGGAGCUCUUGAGGUUUUGUUACGAGAGAGGGUUUGUAGUCGAACAAGUUAAAGAGGCGACGGUUGAUGGUGAGGUUUGAGCGGCGAGAGGCGUCGGCUGCGAAGGAAGCGGCGGAGACGAAAAGGCGUACGG